rnacentral:rRNA from 1 species
AUCGAACGCUGGCGGCAGGCCUAAUACAUGCAAGUCGAGCGGAGCUGCGGACGGGUGAGUAAUGCCUAGUAAUCUGCCUGGUAGUGGCGGAUAACGUACGGAAACGGGCGCUAAUACAGCAUACUAGCAGAUGAGCUUAGGUCGGCUUAGCUAGUUGGUGGGGUAAAGGCUUACCAAGGCGACGAUCAGUAAGUGGUCUGAGAGGAUGAUCCGCCACACUGGAACUGAGACACGGUCCAGACUCCUACGGGAGGCAGCAGUGGGGAAUAUUCCGCAAUGGGCGCAAGCCUGAUGGAGCCAUGCCGCGUGUGUGAAGAAGGCCUUCGGGUUGUAAAGCACUUUCAGCGGGGAGGCGUUACCCGAAGAAGAAGCACCGGCUAACUCCGUGCCAGCAGCCGCGGUAAUAC